GCCGGGCAUGGUGGUGCAUGCCUGUAAUCCCGGAUACUAGGGAGGCCGAGGCAGAAGAAUCACUUGAACCCAGGAGGCAGAGGUUGCAAUGAGCUGAGAUCGCACCACAGCACUCCAGCCUGGGUGACAGAGUGAGACUCUGUCUCAA
rnacentral:SRP_RNA from 1 species